rnacentral:rRNA from 1 species
UGGGGAAUCUUCCGCAAUGGACGAAAGUCUGACGGAGCAACGCCGCGUGUAUGAUGAAGGUCUUCGGAUUGUAAAGUACUGUCAUUGGGGAAGAACGGUUUUCUUGAAAAGAUUGAGAAGACAUGACGGUACCCAAGGAGGAAGCCCCGGCUAACUACGUGCCAGCAGCCGCGGUAAUACGUAGGGGGCAAGCGUUGUCCGGAAUUAUUGGGCGUAAAGGGCGCGUAGGCGGGCCUUUAAGUCCGGUGUGAAAGAUCAGGGCUCAACCCUGAGAGUGCAUCGGAAACUGGAGGCCUUGAGGACAGGAGAGGAAAGUGGAAUUCCACGUGUAGCGGUGAAAUGCGUAGAUAUGUGGAGGAACACCAGUGGCGAAGGCGACUUUCUGGACUGUAACUGACGCUGAGGCGCGAAAAGCGUGGGGAGCAAACAGGAUUAGAUACCCUGGUAGUCCACGCCGUAAACGAUGAGUGCUAGGUGUAGAGGGUAUCGACCCCUUCUGUGCCGCAGUU